UGUGACCUCAAAUCAGGUAGGAUUACCCGCUGAACUUAAGCAUAUCAAUAAGCGGAGGAAAAGAAACUAACAAGGAUUCCCCUAGUAACUGCGAGUGAAGCGGGAAAAGCUCAAAUUUAAAAUCUGGCAGCCUUUGGUUGUCCGAGUUGUAAUCUAGAGAAGUGCUAUCCGCGCUGGACCGUGUACAAGUCUCCUGGAAUGGAGCGUCAUAGAGGGUGAGAAUCCCGUCUUUGACACGGACUGCCAGGGCUUUGUGAUGUGCUCUCGAAGAGUCGAGUUGUUUGGGAAUGCAGCUCAAAAUGGGUGGUAAAUUCCAUCUAAAGCUAAAUAUUGGCGAGAGACCGAUAGCGAACAAGUACCGUGAGGGAAAGAUGAAAAGAACUUUGGAAAGAGAGUUAAACAGUACGUGAAAUUGCUGAAAGGGAAACGCUUGAAGUCAGUCGCGUUGUCCAGGGAUCAACCUUGCUUUUGCUUGGUGCACUUUCUGGUUGACGGGUCAGCAUCAAUUUUGACCAUUGGAAAAAGAUUAGGGGAAUGUGACAUCUUAGGAUGUGUUAUAGCCCUUGGUUGCAUACAAUGGUUGGGAUUGAGGAACUCAGCACGCCGCAAGGCCGGG
rnacentral:rRNA from 1 species